rnacentral:lncRNA from 1 species
UUUGCAGGGUCGGUUUGAUUUUUUUGGGCUCCGAAUUCUAUACUGUCUUUGUGGGUAGCGUUUCUUCUUUUAUGUUUGGGGACUUUCUGUUUGUACAGAUUUUGGUGAUGUUUAUUUGGCUGCCAUUUUAUACAAGUAUAUAAAAUUAUCGUCAUAAAAAAAAGUAUAUAAAAUUAUAGAUAGAUCGUUUACAUAAAAAAAAAAAAUUAUUCUCCUACUUCCUCCUGGAGAUCGAAAUGCAAGGUAAGACCGAU